GCGGUUACACAAGCGCUCCGCGGCCGCGCUGCGGUGUCACGGCAGGACAGACCCCAGCAGCGCUCACGCAAACCGGCCCUGCGGCUCAGGGCGGGAUUAGAGCUCAGCUGGCUCCUUCCCACCGCCCAGACACGUAUUUCAACUUGGUUCUCUCGCACUGAAGUAACUGAAGUGUUGGUUUUCACGGUAAUCAGAGCACGGUGCGCCCUCAGCACUCGCCAAGGCCAGCGGGACUGCGAGGAUGGGAACUGGGACAGGAACGUUCCCGGCUUUGGACAGCGCCGGCGGCCAGCGGGCCGUGACUCAGCACACAGAGCCAGCCAGGUCCUCAGCAGGGCUGAGCUCGGGAUAAACAAACUCACCCUUUCACCCUGACCUCGUUAGCAAACGGACAGACCCAAAAAAUCGAGGCCAAGGCACUUAAACCACCUUUCACUGGUCCCUCUUGACCCCACCCCACUGAAAAAGCAUUAUUCCUGACUUUCUUCAGCUGUGUGGAAGCCACACACAGCCCAACACCUAAACCAGAAGAUACAAGACCCAAUACCCCUAAGGACAGAUAUAUUUUUAAUUAAUCAUUAUUCCGUUUCUAAAUUACCAUCUGCAAGAGGCUUUCAGCUCGUUUAAAGCCCGUGUCUCUAAGAGGCAGAGGUGACUCAUCAGGGAGGCACAGGAUGUGUUCACUUAUGGGACCUUGUGGGAAUUAUCGGGCUCCUGAGCUCACAUCACUUAAAGCCAAGAUUCCCUUGGACCUGGUGUCACGGAAGGGCAGUUCCUGGCGGUAGCUUCCCCCUUCACUGACAAUUCUCAGAGAUGCCAGCAGCCAGGAGGGACUUUAUUCCUGGAGGAGAGCAGCCCCCAGAGCUCUGCCAGCUCUGCAAAGGGACAGGGAACAUCUCUGGGGGUGAAACGGGCUCCAUUCCAAGCACCCCUGGGACUGCAGACUGAGCCCUGAACUCCUGUUCAAAGGGCAGAGGCGGCUCUGGCACCUGCACAUCACCUGUCCUGGAGCACUCCGUCCUUCCCACAGGUGGCACUCACAGAGGAGCAAAGAGGGCUGUGGGAUCAGCACAGGAUUUAUCCACGAGUUUGUCAGAGCAAGAGUUCAGCCGGCUCUGAGGCAGGGAUUGCAUCACACAGCACCACAGCAGGGGGACGGUGCCAUGGCUGAGAAGAUGUCACCGAGCCCCGGCGGGGGCAUCACGCGGGGGGGGGGGGGGGGGGGGGGGGGGGGGGGGGGGGGGGGGGGGGGGGGGGGGGGGGGGGGGGGGGGGGGGGGGGGGGGGGGGGGGGGGGGGGGG
rnacentral:lncRNA from 1 species